rnacentral:rRNA from 1 species
GGAUCCAGACUUUGAUUCUGGCUCAGGACGAACGCUGGCGGCGUGCCUAACACAUGCAAGUCGAACGGAACUUUUUUAAUUGACUUCUCCGGAAUGAUUUUGAUUAAGUUUAGUGGCGGACGGGUGAGUAACGCGUGAGUAACCUGCCUCUAAGAGGGGAAUAACAUUCUGAAAAGAAUGCUAAUACCGCAUAAUAUAUAUUUAUCGCAUGGUAGAUAUAUCAAAGAUUUAUCGCUUAGAGAUGGACUCGCGUCCGAUUAGUUAGUUGGUGAGGUAACGGCUCACCAAGACCGCGAUCGGUAGCCGGACUGAGAGGUUGAACGGCCACAUUGGGACUGAGACACGGCCCAGACUCCUACGGGAGGCAGCAGUGGGGGAUAUUGCGCAAUGGGGGAAACCCUGACGCAGCAACGCCGCGUGAAGGAUGAAGGUCUUCGGAUUGUAAACUUCUUUUAUUAAGGACGAAGAAAGUGACGGUACUUAAUGAAUAAGCUCCGGCUAACUACGUGCCAGCAGCCGCGGUAAUACGUAGGGAGCAAGCGUUGUCCGGAUUUACUGGGUGUAAAGGGUGCGUAGGCGGCUUUGCAAGUCAGAUGUGAAAUCUAUGGGCCCAACCCAUAGCCUGCAUUUGAAACUGCAGAGCUUGAGUGAAGUAGAGGCAGGCGGAAUUCCCCGUGUAGCGGUGAAAUGCGUAGAGAUGGGGAGGAACACCAGUGGCGAAGGCGGCCUGCUGGGCUUUAACUGACGCUGAGGCACGAAAGCGUGGGUAGCAAACAGGAUUAGAUACCCUGGUAGUCCACGCUGUAAACGAUGAUUACUAGGUGUGGGGGGUCUGACCCCUUCCGUGCCGGAGUUAACACAAUAAGUAAUCCACCUGGGGAGUACGGCCGCAAGGUUGCAACUCAAAUGAAUUGACGG